rnacentral:rRNA from 1 species
AACAUUGCCUUUAGGUUAUACGUAAUUUAAGGUAAAUCUGCCCAGUGAACUUUCUAGUUUUAACGGCCGCGGUAUCUCUGACCGUGCUAAGGUAGCGCAAUCAUGAGCCUCUUAAUUGGGGGACAGUAUGAAAGACUCAACAAGAAAUAAGCUGUCUCUUUUCUACUAAAAGAAAUUUAGAAUUAGGUGAAAACUCCUAAUUUUAUUAUAAAGACAGAAAGACCCUAAAAGCUUUUACCAUAAUAUAAGUUUAAUAGAAAAGUAUUUAGCUGGGGCGAUUAUAAGUAAAAAACACUUAAAAUUAUAAAGAGAAAUAUCUCGAUUUUAUUCAUCCAAAUAAACACAAGUAAGUUACUUUAGGGAUAACAGGCUAAUACUUCUUUAGAGCACAAAUCAAAAGAAGUGCUUGGCACCUCGAUGUUGGCUUAAGAAUCCCAUUUUAUGCAGCAAUAAAAAAGGGGGGUUUGUUCAACCUUUAAUUUCUUACAUGAUCU